rnacentral:rRNA from 1 species
AUUGAACGCUGGCGGCAGGCUUAACACAUGCAAGUCGAGCGAGCGGCGGACGGAUGAGUAAUGUCUGGGAAACUGCCUGAUGGAGGGGGAUAACUACUGGAAACGGUAGCUAAUACCGCCUACCAUCAGUCGUGCCCAGAUGGGAUUAGCUAGUAGGUGGGGUAAUGGCUUACCUAGGCGACGAUCCCGAGCUGGUCUGCAAGGAUGACCAGCGACACUGGAACUGAGACACGGUCCAGGCUCCUACGGGAGGCAGCAGUGGGGAAUAUUGCACAAUGGGCGCAAGCCUGAUUCAUCCAUGCGGCGUGUGUGAAGAAGGCCUGCGGGUUGUAAAGCACUUUCAGCGAGGAGGCGUGACUCGCAGAAGAAGCACCGGCUAACUCCGUGCCAGCAGCCGCGGUAAUAC